GGUUAAGUGACUAAGCGUACACGGUGGAUGCCUUGGCAGUCAGAGGCGAUGAAAGACGUAGUAACUUGCGAUAAGCCCAGAUUAGGUAGUAACAACCAUUUGAGUCUGGGAUUUCUGAAUGGGGAAACCCACUUACAUAAGUAAGUAUCAUUAACUGAAUACAUAGGUUAAUGAGGCGAACCGGGGGAACUGAAACAUCUAAGUACCCCGAGGAAAAGAAAUCAACCGAGAUUCCGAAAGUAGCGGCGAGCGAAAUUGGACUAGCCCUUAAGCUUUACACGCGUUAGACGAACGGUCUGGAAAGUCCGACGAUACAGGGUGAUAGUCCCGUAGUUGACGACGUGUGUUCAGUGAAAUCGAGUAGGGCGGGACACGUGAUAUCCUGUCUGAAUAUGGGGGGACCAUCCUCCAAGGCUAAAUACUACUGACUGACCGAUAGUGAACCAGUACCGUGAGGGAAAGGCGAAAAGAACCCCUGUGAGGGGAGUGAAAUAGAACCUGAAACCGUGUACGUACAAGCAGUAGGAGCAGGCUUUGUCCUGUGACUGCGUACCUUUUGUAUAAUGGGUCAGCGACUUAUAUUCAGUGGCAAGGUUAACCAUCUAGGGGAGCCGUAGGGAAACCGAGUCUUAACUGGGCGUUCAGUCUCUGGAUAUAGACCCGAAACCAGGUGAUCUAGCCAUGGGCAGGUUGAAGGUUGAGUAACAUCAACUGGAGGACCGAACCGACUAAUGUUGAAAAAUUAGCGGAUGACUUGUGGCUAGGGGUGAAAGGCCAAUCAAACCUGGAGAUAGCUGGUUCUCCCCGAAAGCUAUUUAGGUAGCGCCUCGGACGAAUACUACUGGGGGUAGAGCACUGUUAAGGCUAGGGGGUCAUCCCGACUUACCAACCCUUUGCAAACUCCGAAUACCAGUAAGUACUAUCCGGGAGACACACGGCGGGUGCUAACGUCCGUCGUGGAGAGGGAAACAACCCAGACCGCCAGCUAAGGUCCCAAAUUACUACUAAGUGGGAAACGAUGUGGGAAGGCUCAGACAGCCAGGAUGUUGGCUUAGAAGCAGCCAUCAUUUAAAGAAAGCGUAAUAGCUCACUGGUCGAGUCGGCCUGCGCGGAAGAUGUAACGGGGCUAAGUAGUAAACCGAAGCUGCGGCAAUAUACUUUUGUAUAUUGGGUAGGGGAGCGUUCUGUAAGCGGUUGAAGGUGUGUGGUAACGCAUGCUGGACGUAUCAGAAGUGCGAAUGCUGACAUGAGUAACGAUAAAGGGGGUGAAAAACCUCCUCGCCGGAAGACCAAGGGUUCCUGUCCAACGUUAAUCGGGGCAGGGUAAGUCGACCCCUAAGGCGAGGCCGAAAGGCGUAGUCGAUGGGAAACGGGUUAAUAUUCCCGUACUUCUUACAAUUGCGAUGGGGGGACGGAGAAGGCUAGGUGGGCCUGGCGACGGUUGUCCAGGUUCAAGUGCGUAGGCUUAAGAGUUAGGUAAAUCCGGCUCUUUCUAAGGCUGAGACACGACGUCGAGCACCUACGGGUGUGAAGUCAUUGAUGCCAUGCUUCCAGGAAAAGCCUCUAAGCUUCAGAUUGUAAGGAAUCGUACCCCAAACCGACACAGGUGGUCGGGUAGAGAAUACCAAGGCGCUUGAGAGAACUCGGGUGAAGGAACUAGGCAAAAUGGUACCGUAACUUCGGGAGAAGGUACGCUCUUGAUGGUGAAGUCCCUUGCGGAUGGAGCUGACGAGAGUCGCAGAUACCAGGUGGCUGCAACUGUUUAUUAAAAACACAGCACUGUGCAAAAUCGUAAGAUGACGUAUACGGUGUGACGCCUGCCCGGUGCCGGAAGGUUAAUUGAUGGGGUUAGACUUCGGUCGAAGCUCUUGAUCGAAGCCCCGGUAAACGGCGGCCGUAACUAUAACGGUCCUAAGGUAGCGAAAUUCCUUGUCGGGUAAGUUCCGACCUGCACGAAUGGCGUAAUGAUGGCCACGCUGUCUCCACCCGAGACUCAGUGAAAUUGAAAUCGCUGUGAAGAUGCAGUGUACCCGCGGCUAGACGGAAAGACCCCGUGAACCUUUACUACAGCUUGGCACUGAACAUUGACCCUACAUGUGUAGGAUAGGUGGGAGGCUUUGAAGCACGUACGCCAGUAUGUGUGGAGCCGUCCUUGAAAUACCACCCUUGUAGUGUUGAUGUUCUAACGUCGACCCCUAAUCGGGGUUGCGGACAGUGCCUGGUGGGUAGUUUGACUGGGGCGGUCUCCUCCCAAAGAGUAACGGAGGAGCACGAAGGUGGGCUAAUCACGGUUGGACAUCGUGAGGUUAGUGCAAUGGCAUAAGCCCGCUUGACUGCGAGAAUGACAAUUCGAGCAGGUGCGAAAGCAGGUCAUAGUGAUCCGGUGGUUCUGAAUGGAAGGGCCAUCGCUCAACGGAUAAAAGGUACUCCGGGGAUAACAGGCUGAUACCGCCCAAGAGUUCAUAUCGACGGCGGUGUUUGGCACCUCGAUGUCGGCUCAUCACAUCCUGGGGCUGAAGUCGGUCCCAAGGGUAUGGCUGUUCGCCAUUUAAAGUGGUACGCGAGCUGGGUUUAGAACGUCGUGAGACAGUUCGGUCCCUAUCUGCCGUGGGCGUUGGAAGAUUGAAGGGGGCUGCUCCUAGUACGAGAGGACCGGAGUGGACGAACCUCUGGUGUUCGGGUUGUGUCGCCAGACGCAUUGCCCGGUAGCUAAGUUCGGAAUCGAUAACCGCUGAAAGCAUCUAAGCGGGAAGCGAGCCCUGAGAUGAGUCUUCCCUGAUACUUUAAGUAUCCUAAAGGGUUGUCGGAGACUACGACGUUGAUAGGUCAGGUGUGUAAGUGCUGUGAGGCAUUGAGCUAACUGAUACUAAUUGCCCGUGAGGCUUAACCAU
rnacentral:rRNA from 1 species